AACAAUUAAAAAUUAAAUAUCUCUCUCUAUCCAUGUCUCUCUCUUUCUCUUUCUCUUUCUCUCUCUCUCUCUCUCUCACAUACUCUUUAUUGCAAUUCACCAAUUCUGCUUCAACCAAGACCAAAAAUCAGGGAAACCAACUCGGUUGUUGUUCUUCGUUGUAAUCCAACUAGGUGCUCAAGGAAUUCAAUGUAGUGUGACUUUUGAAAGUAUCGUCAUCAAUGGUCAAAGAAGAAUACUCAUCUUUGGUUCGAUACAUUAUCCUUGAAGUACUUCACAAAACUAGUAUCAUUUUUUCAGGUGAAAUGUGGGUUUACAUGAGCUUCAAUUCAUAGGGUUUCAAACAGUCGCCGAAAACCCUAGAAAUUAACCGUCACCGCCAUUCCAACGAACACUAGGGUUUCUAACUAUGAGGUCAUCGGAGAAGCAAAGAUACAAAGUGAUUGUUGUCGUGUUCGUCGAGGUAGGAUUUGUAGAGGUGAAGACGAUCGUGGCAAUGGUGGAUUUCAGUUUCUGGCGGCGUUAGGGGUUCGUCGUGUUCGUCGAGGUAGGGUUUUCACUUUUUGAUUGAUUUUCCUCUCUCGCACCUCAUUCAACUGACCCCAUUCAUCCUCUUUUGGUUCGCCAGAUCUGUAACUUUUUUCCUAUCAUUACAUUUUUUCCUGUUUCUGAAAUCUAACUAUCUCUUGUGUUGAAUAUAUAUUUGAUUUUGAUUUUAUUUUCAUAAGGAAGUGGGGGAAGAGGUAUGUCUCCUACGAAAUAUAGGAAUAUGUUGAAAAAAAUAAGAAACAAGGGGAAGAUGAACUCGAGUCUAGUACUUUCUCUUUGCGAUCUGGGUGGAGAUGAUGAUCCAGACGAUGAAAUCAUGUUUUAUUUCCAGAUUCAAAAAUUAUUUUUCAGACUCGAUGUAACUGGUUUAAGAUUUAGAAUCAUAUGUAUGUAUGUGAUUCAAAUUUUGUGUUCUUAAGUGUGUGUGCGUGUUGAAGUGCAAACCCAGAAAUCUGGAUUUUGUGUGUGCAUGUGUGUUGUUCUUGAAUCUAGCCAUGAUGAUUUAUUUAUCUUGAGAUGAGUUCAUUUUUUUGCCAUAUGGUAGUACCAGUAUGAAGCAUUCAAAUAUUGAAGAAGAUGCUUCCUCCUCUUCUUUAGAGAGAGAGAGAGAGAGAGAGAGAGAGAGAGAGAGAGAGAGAGAGUGAGUGUGUGUUUAAUUUUUGUUUUAUUUUUAGUUGUUUCUUAAUUACUGUAAUAAAA
rnacentral:lncRNA from 1 species